UACGGGGGGGGGCAAGCGUUGUUCGGAAUUACUGGGCGUAAAGCGUGCGCAGGCGGUUCGUUGUGUCCGAUGUGAAAGCCCCGGGCUUAACCUGGGAAUGGCAUUGGAAACUGGCGGGCUUGAGUGCGGCAGAGGGGGGUGGAAUUCCGGCGUGUAGCAGUGAAAUGCGUAGAGAUGCGGAGGAACACCGAUGGCGAAGGCAGCCCCCUGGGUCGACACUGACGCUCAGGCACGAAAGCGUGGGGAGCAAACAGG
rnacentral:rRNA from 1 species